rnacentral:rRNA from 1 species
GACGAGCGCUGGCGGCGUGCUUAACACAUGCAAGUCGAACGAUGAAGCCUAGCUUGCUAGGUGGAUUAGUGGCGAACGGGUGAGUAAUACGUGAGUAACCUACCUUUAACUCUGGGAUAAGCCCGGGAAACUGGGUCUAAUACCGGAUACGACCAAUCUCCGCAUGGGGUGUUGGUGGAAAGCGUUAUGUAGUGGUUAUAGAUGGGCUCACGGCCUAUCAGCUUGUUGGUGAGGUAACGGCUCACCAAGGCGACGACGGGUAGCCGGCCUGAGAGGGUGACCGGCCACACUGGGACUGAGACACGGCCCAGACUCCUACGGGAGGCAGCAGUGGGGAAUAUUGCACAAUGGGCGCAAGCCUGAUGCAGCGACGCCGCGUGAGGGAUGACGGCCUUCGGGUUGUAAACCUCUGUUAGCAGGGAAGAAGAGAGAUUGACGGUACCUGCAGAGAAAGCGCCGGCUAACUACGUGCCAGCAGCCGCGGUAAUACGUAGGGCGCGAGCGUUGUCCGGAAUUAUUGGGCGUAAAGAGCUUGUAGGCGGUUUGUCGCGUCUGCUGUGAAAGGCCCGGGGCUUAACCCCGUGUAUUGCAGUGGGUACGGGCAGACUAGAGUGCAGUAGGGGAGACUGGAAUUCCUGGUGUAGCGGUGGAAUGCGCAGAUAUCAGGAGGAACACCGAUGGCGAAGGCAGGUCUCUGGGCUGUAACUGACGCUGAGAAGCGAAAGCAUGGGGAGCGAACAGGAUUAGAUACCCUGGUAGUCCAUGCCGUAAACGUUGGGCACUAGGUGUGGGGGACAUUCCACGUUUUCCGCGCCGUAGCUAACGCAUUAAGUGCCCCGCCUGGGGAGUACGGCCGCAAGGCUAAAACUCAAAGAAAUUGACGGGGGCCCGCACAAGCGGCGGAGCAUGCGGAUUAAUUCGAUGCAACGCGAAGAACCUUACCAAGGCUUGACAUAUACUGGACCGCAUCAGAGAUGGUGUUUCCCUUCGGGGCUGGUAUACAGGUGGUGCAUGGUUGUCGUCAGCUCGUGUCGUGAGAUGUUGGGUUAAGUCCCGCAACGAGCGCAACCCUCGUUCUAUGUUGCCAGCACGUUAUGGUGGGGACUCAUAGGAGACUGCCGGGGUCAACUCGGAGGAAGGUGGGGAUGACGUCAAAUCAUCAUGCCCCUUAUGUCUUGGGCUUCACGCAUGCUACAAUGGCCGGUACAGAGGGUUGCGAUACUGUGAGGUGGAGCUAAUCCCUAAAAGCCGGUCUCAGUUCGGAUUGGGGUCUGCAACUCGACCCCAUGAAGUCGGAGUCGCUAGUAAUCGCAGAUCAGCAACGCUGCGGUGAAUAAGUUCCCGGGCCU